rnacentral:rRNA from 1 species
CCUACGGGAGGCAGCAGUAAGGAAUAUUGGUCAAUGGGCGCAAGCCUGAACCAGCCAUGCCGCGUGCAGGAAGACGGCCCUAUGGGUUGUAAACUGCUUUUGUACCGGAAUAAACCCUUUUACGUGUAGAAGGUUGAAUGUACGGUAAGAAUAAGGAUCGGCUAACUCCGUGCCAGCAGCCGCGGUAAUACGGAGGAUCCGAGCGUUAUCCGGAUUUAUUGGGUUUAAAGGGUGCGUAGGCGGCCUAUUAAGUCAGGGGUGAAAGACGGUAGCUUAACUAUCGCAGUGCCUUUGAUACUGAUGGGCUUGAAUGUACUUGAGGUAGGCGGAAUGUGACAAGUAGCGGUGAAAUGCAUAGAUAUGUCACAGAACACCAAUUGCGAAGGCAGCUUACUAAAGUAUGAUUGACGCUGAGGCACGAAAGCGUGGGGAUCAAACAGGAUUAGAUACCCUGGUAGUCCACGCCCUAAACGAUGAAUACUCGAUGUUGGCGAUAUACGGCCAGCGUCUAAGCGAAAGCGUUAAGUAUUCCACCUGGGGAGUACGCCCGCAAGGGUGAAACUUAAAUGAAUUGACGGNGUGAGAGNGCGAGACGACACGAGGAGAGG